AGGCGACGCUGCAGUCAACUUUACUGGUCAGUGAAGGUACGCCAGAAGCUCCGCAUCCCGGGAAGAGAAAAAGAGGACAAGAAUAUUGGACACUGCAGGUAUCCCGUUAUCUUUUGUUUGUGGACUGGGAGUGACGGUGUUCCUGACCCCAGAUGAGUCAACAGUCGGUGGACGUCCCAUUCACUGGAAAAUCCCCCGUGUAACCACACUUCAGCCUGUUCCUAGAACCUACAGCCACGUUUCUAUCUGUUCGCUGAAACGGAGAGACACCUAAGACCACUUUAACGUCAGGGAGAAUUCUUAAUGUAAUCAUCAAGAAACUGAAAGCGGAGUGAGGAAUGAUGAAUCUUACUGGGAAAUCCAGAAACACUCAUGUCAGCAGCUAACACUGAAAACCGGUGGACGUUGAAAGGAACCGCUUAUUUCAGAAGAAGAACACGGCGCAGACGGAGCCACGGAGAGAGGAGCGGGUGAGCAGACGCUGGCUGCAGAGGACAGAGGAGGAGAGGCUGGUCUGUGAGUGGUUCUUUGGCAGUGUCUUAGCUGGUUGUUGUGAGGAGUGAGAACGAAGCAAUCAGCAAGUAUACUGCCGCAGAACCUCGUCACCAUGUGAGACCCGGCCCCGCCAGCCCACAGGUCACUGGCGUGGGCCGACAAACAGAGACAGGAGCUCGGACCCGUUCCCGUUUGGCCCGGGGCCUCCGCGUCAGUGCUGGGAGCGCUCGGCUCUGCUCACCUCCCUGUGUGUCGGCCUUGUCACCAACUGCUUAUCAGCCGAUUUUUUUUAAUAAAGGUUUUCUUAGUGUCCACGUCUCAUUUAUUUCUCAUUUCCUUUGUUUGUUUGUUUGUUUGUUUGUUUGUUUUCUUCUUUCCCCUGUAUGUUUUUUCUGUACUGUAACAUUCUAUGAUAUUGCUUGCUUUGGCUGUUCCCUUUAGUUAACGUGGCUUGCUAGUGUGUUGCUAUAAGGUUAAACAAGGUGUGCACACAUGUUGUACGCUUUAGUGCUGCUCUCUCCUUUCCCCCCCCUGUAUUUGGCAAUUCAUGGGCUUUUUGAGAGACGGUGACUAAUUCUGCUCCUUGACCACAAGCCACCGAGGGCCACAGUCGACUCUGGAAGUAAACAGCUGAUUUUUUUAAAUUCUUUUUAUUUUUUAUUUUUAUUAAAAAAAUAAUCAUUACAGCAGAUUUGACAGUGACAGCGUCUCUGUGCCCAGUGGCCUCCUAGUGUAACGUGGUUGUUUCCCAGGCUGUACUGGGACUGCACUCACUGUGUUCCUUUACUCAGUUCCGUUCCGCUGGCUUCUCAUGUAAAAUUUGGUUUUAAAAAUGUGGGCUCUAUUUUUAUAUUUGUUCUUUACAAAUAAAAAUUUUUUAAAAACCCAAAACUUUUAAAUGGACUUUUUUUGUAUCACACAUAUUGUUUGC